rfam:Oryza nivara chromosome 10, whole genome shotgun sequence.
AAAAAGGCAAACCCUAGGUUUUUAUACCAAUGUUUAACUGUUCGUCUUAUAUGAAUUUUUUUUAUAAUUAGUAUUUCAUUGUUGUUAGAUGAUAAAACAUGAUUAAUACUUUACGCGUGACUUAUCUUUUUAAUUUUUUUCAUAUUUUUUUAAAUAAGAUGGAUGGUCAAAUGUUGGACACGGAAAUCAAUGUUUGUCUUUUUU